rnacentral:rRNA from 1 species
CAGCAGCCACGGUAAUACGAAGGGGGCUAGCGUUGUUCGGAAUCACUGGGCGUAAAGGGUGCGUAGGCGGGAUCUUAAGUCAGGGGUGAAAUCCCGAGGCUCAACCUCGGAACUGCCUUUGAUACUGGGGUCCUUGAGUCCGGAAGAGGUGAGUGGAACUGCGAGUGUAGAGGUGAAAUUCGUAGAUAUUCGCAAGAACACCGGUGGCGAAGGCGGCUCACUGGUCCGGAACUGACGCUGAGGCACGACAGCGUGGGGAGCAAACAGGAUUAGAUACCCCAGUAGUCCCUGUCUCUUAUAC